CCUACGUGGGGCUGCAGUGGGGAAUAUUGCACAAUGGGGGAAACCCUGAUGCAGCAACGCCGCGUGAGUGAAGAAGUAUUUCGGUAUGUAAAGCUCUAUCAGCAGGGAAGAAGAUGACGGUACCUGAUUAAGAAGCCCCGGCUAACUACGUGCCAGCAGCCGCGGUAAUACGUAGGGGGCAAGCGUUAUCCGGAUUUACUGGGUGUAAAGGGAGCGCAGACGGCAGUGCAAGUCUGGAGUGAAAGCCCGGGGCCCAACCCCGGGACUGCUCUGGAAACUGCCUGGCUGGAGUACAGGAGAGGUAAGUGGAAUUCCUAGUGUAGCGGUGAAAUGCGUAGAUAUUAGGAGGAACACCAGUGGCGAAGGCGGCUUACUGGACUGUAACUGACGUUGAGGCUCGAAAGCGUGGGGAGCAAACAGGAUUAGAUACCCUGGUAGUC
rnacentral:rRNA from 1 species